GGACAUGGGUGUCGGUCCGUUCUUAAUUGAAUGUGUACCUGAUACCUUCGUUCAUCCUCGAGGAGAGCAUAUCUGACAUUCAGUUGCCGGGUAUGGGAUCCUCGUCAUUUACUGUGAGCAAAAUAGAGUGUUCAAAGCAGGCUUAGGCCGUUGAAUACAUUAGCAUGGAAUAAUGGAACAGGAUUGGGGUCCUGAUUUCGUUGGUUUCUAGGAUCUCAGUA
rnacentral:rRNA from 1 species